rnacentral:rRNA from 1 species
UACGUAGGAGGCGAGCGUUGUCCGGAUUUAUUGGGCGUAAAGAGCGUGUAGGCGGUCAGGUAGGUCCGUUGUGAAACUCGAGGCUCAACCUCGAGACGCCGAUGGAAACCAUCUGGCUAGAGUCCGGAAGAGGAGAGUGGAAUUCCUGGUGUAGCGGUGAAAUGCGCAGAUAUCAGGAAGAACACCCGUGGCUAAGGCGGCUCUCUAGUACGGUACUGACGCUGAGACGCGAAAGCGUGGGGAGCGAACAGG